AAACUAAACACGUAGAAUUUGGCAGCCGCUCAAGAAGAACCAAAUCCACUUCAACCCCAGCAGCCGGAAAACAUCGCCGGAGGUGAAGGUACAGGACAAGGGGCUUAAAGUUCGGCGGAAGUGUCAUCAGAGUUGGUUUGGAGGCAAGAACUUUGGGAAGUAAAACUAGGAGUUGGUAUUUAUGCGAUAAGUGUGAUCUGAGGACUAAAGUCAUCAAAGAUUCAAAGGAUUACUGGAUUUAAGGUGAGUACGUAGAUGGUGGCCAGCUUCUCGAGGCGUGAGUGGUGUCCCCAUGGAUACAGUUGUGGUUUAUGGGUAGCAUAGGGUUUGAUUAUUAAAGACUUCCGCUUUGUUAAAUUUUAAAGACUUAUUAAUUAUCUCUCAAUG